GGGGCCGACCUGGCUUCGACGUGGAUUACAAAACUUAAGGGGCAUGUCGAGGUGUCAGCGAACCUCGUAAACACUAGCUGAAUUUAAUAGUCGCAAACGACGAAAACUACGCUUUAGCCGCUUAAGGCUAACUGUCGACUCUGAGCGUCCUUGGUAGGAACUCGACAGACAUACACAGGGACUCGCGGGUAAGCUUGCUUGUGGCCCAACCGCUAAACUUAAACAAGCUCACCUAUCAGCUCCUGUCCGUCGGAAACUGCUAGGUUAAAUUAAAGACGAGACUACACAUGUAGAACCUUAAGCAGAGGAUUUGCGGACGCGGGUUCGAUUCCCGCCGGCUCCACCA
rnacentral:tmRNA from 1 species